AUACGGAGGUGACAAGCGUUAUCCGGAUUUACUGGGCGUAAAGGGCGUGUAGGCGGUCUUUCAAGUCAGAAGUGAAAUUCCUGGGCUCAACCCGGGAACUGCUUCUGAAACUGCAGGGCUAGAGUGCUGGAGGGGAUAGCGGAAUUCCUAGUGGAGCGGUUAAAUGCGCAGAUAUUAGGAAGAACACCGGUGGCGAAGGCGGCUAUCUGGACAGUAACUGACGCUGAGGGGCGAAAGCGUGGGGGGCAAACAGGAUUAGAUACCCUGGUAUUCCACGCCGUAAACGAUGAAUACUAGGUGUAGGGGGUAUCGACUCCCUCUGUGCCGCAGUUAACACAAUAAGUAUUCCGCCUGGGGAGUACGGCCGCAAGGUUGAAACUCAAAUGAAUUGACGGGG
rnacentral:rRNA from 1 species